AAGCCUGAUGCAGCCAUGCCGCGUGUGUGAAGAAGGCCUUCGGGUGUAAAGCACUUUCAGUAGGGAGGAAGGUAGUGUAGUUAACACCUGCAUUAUUUGACGUUACCUACAGAAGAAGCACCGGCUAACUCCGUGCCAGCAGCCGCGGUAAUACGGAGGGUGCGAGCGUUUAAUCGGAAUUACUGGGCGUAAAGCGCAUGCAGGCGGCCUGUUAAGUCAGAUGUGAAAGCCCGGGGCUUAACCUCGGAAUUGCAUUUGAAACUGGCAGGCUAGAGUCUUGUAGAGGGGGUAGAAUUUCAGGUGUAGCGGUGAAAUGCGUAGAGAUCUGAAGGAAUACCAGUGGCGAAGGCGGCCCCCUGGACAAAGACUGACGCUCAGAUGCGAAAGCGUGGGGAGCAAACAGGAUUAGAUACCCUGGUAG
rnacentral:rRNA from 1 species